rnacentral:rRNA from 2 species
GAUUAUUGGGCGUAAGCGCGCGCAGGCGGUCCUUUAAGUCUGAUGUGAAAGCCCACGGCUCAACCGUGGAGGGUCAUUGGAAACUGGGGGACUUGAGUACAGAAGAGGAAAGCGGAAUUCCACGUGUAGCGGUGAAAUGCGUAGAGAUGUGGAGGAACACCAGUGGCGAAGGCGGCUUUCUGGUCUGUAACUGACGCUGAGGCGCGAAAGCGUGGGGAGCAAACAGGAUUAGAUACCCUGGUAGUCCACGCCGUAAACGAUGAGUGCUAAGUGUUAGAGGGUUUCCGCCCUUUAGUGCUGCAGCUAACGCAUUAAGCACUCCGCCUGGGGAGUACGGCCGCAAGGCUGAUACUCAUAGGAAUUGACGGGGGCCCGCACACGCGGUGGAGCAUGUGGUU